rnacentral:tRNA from 1 species
CUUAUAUAGUUUAAAC